AAUGCCAUAUAAUUAUUGCUAAUUGACAUAUUAGUAGAAUAAUCUAGAAAUGUAAAAAAACAUUUUUCAGUUACCAGUUUGACACUGAGGAAUAAAGAAGUUUACAAAAUGUUUGGCAUACAUGUACUAGUUUCAUUGUUGAUCAUUGGAACAGUCAAUGUUAUAAGAAGCACAGGACAACAAGUCGGUUGUAGUUUUGAAGAGAUUUCCAAUGAAUAUUCGAAAAUCGUGCAUAAAGGCGUCGUAUGUGACGGACAUGUUCGAAGAACUAGGUCGUGAUGUGGAAAUCAAACAGACUGAGUUUCUCGAGAAACUAUCCUCGGCUUGCAGUAAUUAUGAAGCUUUCAUGAAAUGUGCUAAUUGCACUGCUAAACGUGUCUGUGAGGAUGAAAAAACAAAGUUAAAGGAAUUACUCAGUGAAAGAUGGGCGCUUUUUUGCGAUGGUGACCAACAAUCAGACUGGCUUAAGACAAUAUUACAGAACCAGUACAGCUACAACAAGUCUUGUGACCAUGUAUUUGAUAAUUCUUUCUUCGCUUGUGUGCACGGGGAUCCGGCGGCUAUACAAAUGCAACAUCUCUGACGGAUAUUUCUGAGGUGUACAGAGAAGCUAUCUCAGGCAUUUUCAAAUGUGUAAUUGGUGAGCUGUUUAGCCAUGUGGAUUAUGUCAGACAAUGUGGAUCUUCGUGGCAGGAUAUCUUACUUACAGGCUGGUUAAAGUUUUCUGCUUCAUACGGUGUUGCAGUUCAAAUCAGCGAAGACGAAGUUGAUCAAUUGAAAGUGAUGAGAUGCGAGUAAGAACUACGAGCAAUUUCUACUGAAAUACCACCAUAGACCUCAUUUUUGACAGUCAACACACGUCACAUCAGAUUGUGGAAUAUGUUGGAGAAUAUAUCUAUUAUACUAUUCAAUAUAGUAAAAUAGUGCAUCGUAACGUCA
rnacentral:lncRNA from 1 species